AGAGAGAGACAUGCGCGCAUAUCAAUAAGCGGAGGAAAAGAAACUAACAAGGAUUCCCUUAGUAACGGCGAGUGAAGCGGGAAGAACUCAAAUUUGAAAUCUUCAAGGUUUUACCUUGACGAAUUGUAGUUUAAAGAAGUGUUUUCUGCUGAAGUUUUGGUAAAAGUUCUUUGGAAUAGGACAUCAUAGAGGGUGAGAAUCCCGUAUUUGACCAUUAUUUUCAGCUUUGUGAUACACUUUCAAAGAGUCGGAUUGUUUGGGAAUGCAGUCCAAAAUGGGUGGUAAAUUUCAUCUAAAGCUAAAUAUUGGCGAGAGACCGAUAGCGAACAAGUACCGUGAGGGAAAGAUGAAAAGAACUUUGAAAAGAGAGUUAAACAGUACGUGAAAUUGUCAAAAGGGAAGCGUUUGACACCAGUGUUGUUUUCUCGAAAAUCAAUUAAAAAUGGCUCGAUUUUGUAUUGCUGAGACCUUAAAAGCUCACUGUACAUUUUUCGUGUCUUUUUUAAUGCACUUUUCGUUUAACAAGUCAACAUCAGUUUCUUUUGUUGUAAAAGGGUCAUUGGAAGGUGGCUUUCUUUUCGGAGAAAGUGUUUAUAGCCUUUGGCCUCUGCAAUCGGAAGAGACUGAGGUCUGCAGCGUAGACUCUUCGGGGUUAGAUACAUUUGUGCUAAGUUAUAGCUUUUUAUAGACAACUUGUUGACUAUAAUUAGUCUUGUAGCUUACUCGCCUUAUGCUAUUUUACCUACGCUUAGGAUGUUGAAGAUGUAGCACAUCAU
rnacentral:rRNA from 1 species